rnacentral:pre_miRNA from 2 species
GGAUACCUGGAAACUACUGUUGUAUCGAAAAAUAGAUAUCCGAGAUUUGUCCACGUCAUCACGAGUAAAACUUUUACUCGCAUUCACUCAUGAGUAAAAAUUUUAUUGGGAGUAAAAUUUUUCAUUUUACUCAUGGUGACGUGGAUGAAUCUCGGACGUCUAUUUUUCGAUCCAAUGAUAGUUUAUGAGUUUCC